rnacentral:tRNA from 1 species
GCUGGCGUAGCUCAGUUGGUAGAGCGGCUGAUUUGUAAUCAGCAGGUCGCAGGUUCGACUCCUGUUUAGCCAGCUCCA